rnacentral:lncRNA from 10 species
ACCGGAGCUGUUCCUAUUCGGCCAUCUUGGCUCCUCCCCCCGAGAUUGAUAAAUCCAAGAAAAUAGAGAAGAUCAAAAGAAGAUACAUAGCUGAAAACACUUGAAGGUAUAGACUACCUUGAAAGUCACGCAAGAACUGUUCUUCCUGCUUUCCAUAUCCAAGAUUCUUGCCCGAUCGCCCAGGCUGGAAUGCAGUGGUGUGAUCUCAGCUCACUGUAACCUCCACCUCUCCCAGGUUCAAGCAAUUCUCCUGCCCCAGCCUCCUGAGUAGCGGGGAUUACAGGUGCAUGCCACCACACCCAGGUAAUUUUUUGUAUCUUUAGUAGAGACGAGGUUUCACCAUGUUGACCAGGCUUGUCUUGAACUCCUGACCUCGCGAUCCACCCACCUCGGCCUCCCAAAGUGCUGAGAUUACAGGCGUGAGCCACCGCGCCUGGCUGGUUUUCUCCUCUUGUGUAGAACACUUCAAGUGGCACGAAGCCUCUCAACCUUCCAGACCAGCCUCCCUUCUGUGUCCUAGAAGAGCAAGACAGGCAUUUGAUGUUGCGUUGUAGCAUUGAUUUUUAUUUCUAACCAUUUUUUUCUAUGUACUUUUUGUUGUAUAUUUUAUCUUUUGUUUUUUAUUUUAUCUUUUGUUUUUUGCUUAUUCUUUUUUAUUUGUGUGUGUAUGUGUGUUUAUUUUUGAUGUAUUACACAUAAGAUGAAGGCUUUAAAUUUUCCUGUAUGUAGAGAGGAAUAAGGAAAGCCCAAUAUCAUGUUGAACAACAUGAUACUCUGAUUUGAAAUCCAAACUUGAUUUUUUAUUCUAGUCUGAUAUUUAGAAGUUGAUAGCCACAUUAAAAAUUAUGAGUCCCAGCCCACAUUACGAUACAUGAACUGUUGUUUUGAAGUCAUGUUUCAUCAUUCACAUAAAAAUGAGGUGUUAAACACUAAUUGCAUACCUGGCACCUGUGUGGGAACUCUUCCCUCCAGACAAUCUCAGCCCUCCACUCAGGGAGACCCACAGGAGAGAGCUCCACCCAGGGUGGGGCAUCAGCUUGGGCUAGGGAGAAAAGCAGGCUCAUCCAGUGGUGUGAGGCAGUGUUAGUAUCUACAGCUCCCAGAGAGCAUACUGAUGGCUUUCAGGUGAUGUAUAACUAAAAUGUAAGCGGGUCUCUUGUCCACUAACAAGGCAUCGACUACGGAGCAUUUACAACCUCAACUUCCAGUCUGGAAAGCAUGUCAUUCAGGGUACGAUAGGACCCUAGACCAAAGCUUCCAUUUCCAUCAACCCUCUUCAACUUUGUAGAAAAGUCAUUUUCUCUUCAAGCUUAGUAGAUAGAUCUUUCCUUCACAGAUGAGACAUGCUCCUUCAAGAGCUCACCUAGGGAGGGUGAGGGCGUUAGCUCUGGGGCCAGGCUGUCUGUUUCUGAAUCCUGGAUUCUCUCCUUCCUAGUCGUGAAAGCAUGGGCAAGUCUUUUAACUUGUCUGGUCCUCAGUUGAGUUGCCUUAUCUAUAAAAUGGGAAGAAAAAUAACAACUCUGACCUCAUUAGGUUGUUGUGAGGAUUAAAUAGUGCUGAGAAUAGUGCCUGACACAAAGUAAGCCUGCAAUACAUGUCAGCUAUCCCCAUCAGUGAGAGAAACACUUGUCAAUCAUGAAAGUACAGCAUGGUGUGAUAUACGCUUUAAUAGAGUUGUGUGGCUGGGAAAUGAUUAAUUCUGAGGGAUUCACAGAAGACUCCUGAUCCAGUUAGUGUUCUAUCAGACAAGCAGAACCACUUUGUAUGAUAUAGGACCAGAAAUUUAUUGUCGGACCUUACUGAGUACAACUGUAGGAAAUGGCUAAUCAGUAUAUGUGAGGCUGUUGCUUCUGAGUUUGUGCUGGACUUUAAGGGUAGGCAGUGGAGAAAGAGAAAUAGCAGUGGAGGAGGAGAGAGCAAUGAUGGUCUGGACCUUGCCAGGCACACUACAGCCUAUUCCUGUCUCUCACAAUAUGUGGUGUCCUGCACCAACCUUCUAAAUAUUAAAACAGUAGCUUCACUUCUAUAUUUCAAAUAUCAUGCAAAAUCUCUUGUGGCCAAAGCUAAUAUGGAACUAUGCAGGGAAGGGGGUCUGAGAAAUGUAGCUCCAUCUUAUCUAAGUUGACCCAGCAUAAAUUAACCACAUCUCCACAAAGGAAGCAAUGGAAUGGGUUCUAAAAGAGUAAUUGUUUGCUAUGAGGACAAAUGAGAGGAUAUUCCGGAUUCAGGGAAGGUAGUGUGCAGAGCUAUGAAAAAGUCUGCUGCAUUCAGGACAUUCAUAGUGGCUGCAGCAUAGGCAUUUUGCUACUAGGCGAUGGAAUUAGCCCAACAUAACCAUGAGCCAUGGUAGCUAGAGGAAGCACAGAUCCACCUAUCCAUUGAAUCACAUUUUUUCAUUAACAAAGACUGGCUUCUUUUUCUUCUCGGCUAAUGUCUUUCCCAUUACCAAGGCAAUUAAACAAUAGCAGUGAAAGGAGCAUUGAGCCUGGAGCCAGGAGACCUGGGUUUUAAUUCCAGCCUUGCCCCAUGCUCUGUUGGUGACUUUAGAUGAUUUUUUCACUCUCUGAACCUCAGUAACCUCAUCUCUAAAGGAGAGAUUGGAACAGAAGUGACAACUAAAUCUCUAGUGUCACUUCCAACUUUAACAUUAUCUGGUUCUUGGCAAUUAUAGCAUGACAAAAGGGGUACAGUAAUUUUCAUUCUGGUGAAAGCCCAAACAGAAAAUGCAGGACUUUCUGUCAUAUCACUUCACUUUUAUUUCUAGACCUUGGAAGCUGGUAAAAUGGAGCUGCCCAUGGUUGUUCCUGGAGUCUAGGCCUGGCCUAGAUUAGGUGUCCAAGGUCAGCUCAAGGCUAAAUCUUAUUUGUCUUGGAAGCAUUAGUCUUUCACUGUGCUGGAAUCAUCCAAGGCUGUCAAGAAAUGUUGGAUGAAUGAACAUACGGGAUCUGGUCCUGGAUUGGUCUAUAGGCUUAGAAAUUGUUUGUAUGGAUGACUUUGAGGGGACCUUAUACACACUUCCCCUCUUAGGGGAGACUCUGAAUCAGAAACAGUUUCUUCAAGUCUGCUCUAAUAUUGCCCUAUAUCUCUAGGAGGAUUACAGGAUUGAAUAAAUAGGGAGUGGGUCAAGACAAAGGUCUAGUGCAUAUGUGAAAUUAUGCAAAUUCCAAACAAGAAAUGGCCACCUGGCCCUAGAUCUUAUGGACAUACUAAUAAAUAUUUCUGAAUGGAAUAAUUCUAGACAUAGGUAUCUAUCCCUCCUAAAUUACUGGGGGAAAGUCAGACUAAUGCCUCAAACUUUUUGGUCUGUUUUCAAAGAUGUUCAAAUGUUGCAUCCCAGGGAAGCCGUGGUGGUGUUCUUUGUCACGUCCAAUAAAAUGUUCUUAUGGAACAUUUAAUUUUCUUUUCUUAUGGAAAAACACUUUUGCUAACAAACAAGGCAGUAUUAUUUUAUGUAUGCAACCUGUAAUUGUGGGAAACAUCAGCUUUGGAGUCAAGAAAGCUGGUUUCAACUCUGGGCUUUAUUGCUUAAUAGUUGUGUACGUAGCGGAUGAAUUAUUUCAUCAUUGAAUCUCAGUUUCUUCAUCUAUACAAAGGGCGUGAUAACACUGUUCAUAGAUCUUAAAACAGAUGGUACAUAUAAACUGCAUGGC